rnacentral:rRNA from 1 species
AUGAACGCUAGCGACAGGCCUAACACAUGCAAGUCAGGGGCAGCACAAGGAGCAAUCUGAGGUGGCGACCGGCGCACGGGUGAGUAACACGUAUGCAACCUGCCUGUAAGCGGGGAAUAACCCGUUGAAAGACGGACUAAUACCGCAUAAUACUAAAUUACUGCAUGGUAAUUUAUUUUAAACAUUUAUGGCUUACAGAUGGGCAUGCGCAUGAUUAGCUAGUUGGAGAGGUAACGGCUCCCCAAGGCAACGAUCAUUAGGGGUUCUGAGAGGAAGGUCCCCCACACUGGUACUGAGACACGGACCAGACUCCUACGGGAGGCAGCAGUGAGGAAUAUUGGUCAAUGGACGAGAGUCUGAACCAGCCAAGUCGCGUGCAGGAAGAAUGUUCCCUAUGGAUUGUAAACUGCUUUUGCGAGGGGAAUAAAGUGCAUCACGUGUGAUGUUUUGUAUGUACUCUGCGAAUAAGGAUCGGCUAACUCCGUGCCAGCAGCCGC